GAUGAACGCUGACAGAAUGCUUAACACAUGCAAGUCAACUUGAACUUCGGUUUGGGUGGCGGACGGGUGAGUAACGCGUACAGAACUUGCCUCACAGCUAGGGACAACAUUUGGAAACGAAUGCUAAUACCUGAUAUUAUGAUUUUAGGGCAUCCUAGAAUUAUGAAAGCUAUAUGCGCUGUGAGAGAGCUUUGCGUCCCAUUAGCUAGUUGGAGAGGUAACGGCUCACCAAGGCGAUGAUGGGUAGCCGGCCUGAGAGGGUGAACGGCCACAAGGGGACUGAGACACGGCCCUUACUCCGACGGGAGGCAGCAGUGGGGAAUAUUGGACAAUGGACCAAGAGUCUGAUCCAGCAAUUCUGUGUGCACGAUGAAGUUUUUCGGAAUGUAAAGUGCUUUCAGUUGGGAAGAAAAAAAUGACGGUACCAACAGAAGAAGUGACGGCUAAAUACGUG
rnacentral:rRNA from 1 species